UUUUCGCCUUUUUGUUGAAUAGAAGACUCGUAUUCUCUAAUCGCACGGACUCCUGCCAAAAUCUCUUCCGGAAUGAUGACCUUGCCGUACUCGCCGUUGAAAAAAUCCUCAUUCUUCUGAAGCGCAGCGGCGACGCCAGCGGCACCUCGAUAUUUUGACGCGACAAGUCGCAUUCCGCAAGAAGUAACAAGACCUUUGGGACCGAAUUGCUCUAGGAAUUCGCAAUGUGUCUUUUCAAGCUUGCUUUGCUGGCUAUAUAAUGGUUGUCAGCCUCGUCAUUCAUCAUUAUUAUCGCUAUACUCACCGGUUCUUUGAAGCCCAAUCACGUUUACUCUUCAAAUUCCUCUCCUUAGCGUCAGAUUUAUUCCUGGGUCGGUUAGGAUCUACUACGAUAGCUCUCGUUAGCCGUCACCAGGGCUAGAUGCCUUUACAAUUGCUCACCACAAUCCCAUCUACUUCUUCGAGCCUGCACACUCAAUGGUACUCCAUGUUUGUCCUGCAAAUGUCUCCUCGCGACACUCCGCGCAUUUUUCCCAUCAUACGUUUUGGAACACACUCGACAAGUAUACAUCUCCCACUGGCUGUUAUGCCCUCCAAAACCAGGCCUAUUCUUCUCAGGUGGGUGAAGAAUCAAAAGAUCAUUGACUUCGAGGAUCGAACCCGCAGGUGCUGGCAGAAGGCCAGUUUUACGAGCACCUUUGAGUUGGAUGGGUGGUUGCGAUGGGUUUGGGAAGAACAUGAAUGUGGCUUCUUCUGAUGAGGCAGCAUCGGUACCGAGAGAGGUGGCGCUGGCUACAGAUCUGGACCUGGCACGGGUGGCGGGCGUCUUACCCUUCUUUUUUACGUCCGCAAUUGUACUUUGGGGAGCUAGAGCGGGAUCAAGAAGCUCGGGCUCAUUUUCAAGUUCGUCUUCCUCAGCAUCGGGGCCAGCAAAGGCGUCAACAGAUAUUCGAGCCUGGUAGCAUGCUGCAGGGUGAGUGCGGACCGAAGGGUGUACGUCAGGAUAAGGGUGUGAGUGUGAAUGAGGAUGAGCAUGGCUGUUGUCGUGACCGGCGGUGCGUGAAGGAUGGAACGUGUGUCCAGGAAUGGGUUGCCAUGGUAAGAAUAGGGCUGGAUUGAGGGACUAGCCUAGUGUCACGUCACCUCUAAAUCGAGACUCACAAUUUGUUGGGAAGGAAAGAAUUAAAAAUGUGAGCACACAAAAAAUGUCCAAGAGAGUGUGUAUGGGAAUGAGGGUACAGGUUGGGAGAAUCCGGGAUGGAGAGUGACUAUAAGGUUAUCAGGGAGGAAGAAAAAGAGAUGGAGGAGAAAUAGAGAUGAGGGAGAUGUUUGUUUGUCGCUUUUUUCGAAGCAGGAGGCAGCAAAGAGGAGUCAAAGCCACGCGUGUGAUUUUGAUCGUGGAUCAAAGGGAGGGAUGUAGAAAGCAACGCACGGGCCUCCGUCCUGUGUGUCCACACAACUGCCGUCCAUGUUAUGCUAUGUUAUUUGGGCAGCAUCUUCGUCUCCCUCUCUCCAAUGUAUAUCAUGAUGUAACAGUUAACAAUGUCAAGGAAAAGGUGUGUAAGCUCAUCAGCAGAGGA
rnacentral:sRNA from 1 species